GACGACGUCGCAGAAAGCUCAAGCGGAUGGACAAAGCAAGAAGAAAGCCUAGAUCAGAGUCAGUCUGUAGCAACUCCUGAGAGGAGACCAGAUUCAUGAUGGAUGGCUUUGGUAUGAUGCUAGCUUGGGAGAUCCCACUCCAUCGGAUCAACAAAUUACCAUGGUGGCAGAAAAUAAAAAACAAUGUUAAAUAGCUAUUUGGAAUGCAAG